rnacentral:misc_RNA from 1 species
CCAAAUCCAUUGAGUUGCAUAAUAACCCAGAGUCCAUAAGCAUGCAUUUAUGAAUACGGAUUUGAAAAAGAGGUAAUAUCAGUCUAGAACAAACCUAGAAUAGUCUUAUCAUCACGAUUCUAAAAUUCAAUGCAAGUACUUCUACAUCCUUUUCAGCCUCCUUGAAGAUACAGUAAAUAGGUAAAAUAUUAUAUAGGGAAAACUCACAAUGAAGUACAUGGCAAAUAUAAUUUCUAAUUGGCAUUAAGAGUGCUAAGCCACUAAUCAUCUAUCCUGCAACCAAACAGGGGCAGUAGCAGCCAACUACAAGCUUACAAUCAACUAAUGUCUUUCAGCGGCAUUCUCUUCCUUCCCAAGUGCAACCACAGCUUUCUUCAGAAUGGCUUCAGUUUGCUGGUGAGCAUUCUCCACAGCCUUUGAAAUUGCCUGCCAUUUCUCACCAUGCCUUGGUUCUGCAGCAAUGCACCUCUUUAAAACAUCCUUCUGAUUUUCCUCAGUCCCAUGUUGAAGUUCAAAUUUGUAAUAUAAAGCCCAGAAAUCCCCAACAUCUGGAGCAAGAGUAACUGCCCUGUUCAGCCACGUUCUAGCUUUAUCAACCUUCCUAUCAUGCCAGAACAGCUUGGCCACAGCAGAAAUAACAUGAGGGUCGUGAUCACAUUUCUUGAGGGCAUCCAUACUCUUGCUUUUGCGUUGUGGACGGGGAACCAUCUCAAUGGAUGCUGCCCACAAUAUGCCACUGUUAGGACACUCCUGCAAAGCCUUUGCCAUCAGGAUAUCAGCUUCCUUCUUAUUCCCAUGCCUUGAUUCAGCACGGACAGCAGCAAGCCAGAGCUCAGGGUUUUGAGGAUUCUUCUUCCUUGCCAUGGUAAGUACAGCACGUGCUUUACUCAGCCCAUUCAUUUUCUCUUCAAGAUUAGCAAGAGAAAGCCAAAGGGGUAUACAACUCGGACAGUGCUUCAAACCUGACUCAUAAACUUCCUUUGCCUUUUCCAGGUGACCAAGCCGUUCCUCAAGCUGCCCAAGCAUCAACCAGAGUUUGAAGAAUGAAGGGAAGCGUUUCAAACCUUCAUCCACUAACCUCCUCUCCUCCUCAGUAUUGCCCAACUCUCUCUCAACAAUGGCAGACUUCAUCCACACUCUUUCUGUACCACCUCUUUCUCUAGCCUUAGCAAGCAGCAUUCUUGCUCUUUCAGGUUCAUGAUUCUCAAAUUCAAGCUUAAACGCUGCAAGCCAAAUUUCCUCAGAGUUUGGUAUAGCAGCAUAAGCUUCUUGAAGAAUAGCCCUUGCAGCAGGCACAUCGCCGGCAAGCCACUUCUCUUUAGCACCCAUAAGCCACAGAACUUCAGCUUGUGGCCUAUAAGUAACCGCCUUGCGCAACAAAGCGUCAAGCGACUCCCUAGUCCCAUGACUCUUCUCAAGCUGUGCAGCUUUAAGCCAAAUACUCUUCUUAGUCAAAAACACAGUUAGUGCAUGAGCAUAAAUAGCUCUAGCAGUCUCAAUAGAUCCCCUCUUCUUACAUUCCUCUGCAUCUGCCACCCAUGUUCUCUUCCUAUCCUCUUCCUCCACUCCAAUUCCAAUUGUGUUCUUAAUAAUUGCUUGACAAGUCACCACAGAGCCUGCCCUUUCCGCUGCCUCAGCCUCCUUCAUCCAUGCCUCCCUAUCAAUCACUAACCCUUCUCUCUGUAAAGCUCUGAUACCUCUCUCUAUAAUCUUUCCCACCAUUGAUGUAUUACCGUUUGCCUCCUCCAACUUGGCAGCAGUUAUCCAUAUAGCAGGCUCCUUGGCCAACUUUUCCCUGGCCCUGUUCAACACCUUCUUCGCAUUAUCAUAUGUCUCCAAUCUUGCCAACGCCAACCACAAUUCGACGUGCAAAGGACAACAUUCCACUGCUCUGUGAAGUAAUGUUCUAGCAUUCUCCUCAUUAGACAACUCCACAACAGAUUUCCACAACCUAACUGAAUCGGGAAUAUGCUCUAAACCCUUCCUCAAAACCCUACUUUUAUUCACAUCAUCGUGUUCCAGUUUUGCAGCCUGCAACCACAACUUAACAGAAUUUGGUAUACUCUUCACUCCCUUAGCUAUAACUGCUUUGGCUUCAUCAGGGCUAGCCAGCCUACAUGCCUCUAACCAAACAUCCUCAUUUUUAGGACAUUCCUCGCAGCCCCUUUGUAUCAACUGCCUUGCUGCCUGAAUCUUCCCGGCCACCUCUUCCAACCUUGCAGCAGCAAUCCAACCAGGCGGGUGUUUUGGGUUAGUCUGAGUAACACUCUUCAACAACAACCUCGCCUUCUUAAUAUCCGAAAUCUCUGCAUCACUUGUAAUCUUCAUACUCUUCAAAUCCGUCAAAUAGCCUUUAGGAUCCACCACAGUGAGCCCUGAAACAGAAUCGGAUAACCUAUCUAACUUCAAUGACAACACAGUGCCUCUCCCUUCACCAACAGCAGUCAGGUCAGUGACUGGAGUCUGCGACCAUGGCGUUUCAGUCCCACCAGCAGCUCUGCUCUUGGGGUCCAAAGCAGUAACAUGCUCCUGCUCUUGCCUCGCCUUCUCGAGAAGGGUAUCGGGUACUGGUACGAAGCUCUCAAAUCUCCUCUUCUUGUUUCUCAACGAGUAAUCACCAAUGUCUGGUAUGCUCUCCCAUUCUUGGGCGGAUAACGUGUACAAUUUCCUCUUCAAAUCCGCGAAUUGCUCAGUGAUCUUCGGAUUUGAAGCUCGGUACUUCUCGAUCUCCUGCUUCAAUCUCGCCUCCCUCCUGUCCUUUCGCCGCGAAUCCAUCCUCUUAUCAAUUGCCUCCCAUACCGCAUCUGCUUCCUUGUCGUCCUCGUCAUAUUCCGCCGAAGCAAACAGCCCGACGUCGUUCCCUUCAAACUCAUCGAAUUUCUGGUUCUCGUCGUAACCCUUAUCAUCCCCCUCAUCAUCCUCUUCUUCUUCGCCGCCUUUUCCUCGGCCACGGCCGAUCCCAGACGCGGCACUGGAUGCUCCUCCAAUGGUGGUAGCAGAUCGGUCAGGAAGAUCAGGAGCAGCACGAGCUGGACCAAUAUCAGACCGGGUGGUGAAGCCCGUGGCACCACGCCCAAGACCAGCGACAUAGUUGGGGGGAGGCUUAGAAUUUAGGAAAUCAAGGCGGGGCUUAGGCGGAGCAGGAGGUUGGGUGCCACCAAGGAAAGGUAUAUACAGGGUCAGGGUGGAAUAGGGGGUGAUACCCAGCUGGGAGAGGAGAAUUUCAUCGGAAUUUUGAAGGCCGUUUGGAUUAUAAACGGGACUAAAUGAAGGCAAUAAAAAUAGUUGGCGAGAGAUGGGAAUUUGGGAUUGGGAGUGGAUGUGGUUUUUGAGGGCGGAAAGGGUGGUGAUGUUGGGGUUGACGUGGAGAAAGAGGGUCUUGUUGUUUGGAGAUUUAACGAAAACCAUUUUUUCCGAUGAAAAGAGAUAUGGGUUUUUGGAUUCAAUACCCAGAAAAGGGUGUUAGGGUUCAGGUGACUGCCCUAAAAGAAAGGAAGAGUGAAAGAGAGCGGCGCUAUGGCGGUGGUUUGAUAUCGGUAGCAGACAAAAAAUAAAAUACCGGUUUGGACCGGCACGGGUCAAGUCGGCUGAUGGAUUUUAACUUUGAUCCACACACCAUUAUUGUUUAACUCGUAAAUUUUUUACAAACAGUUAAAUUAAUGAAAACGAGGAA